rnacentral:rRNA from 1 species
GACGAACGCUGGCGGCGUGCUUAACACAUGCAAGUCGAACGGAAAGGCCCUGCUUGCCGGGUACUCGAGUGGCGAACGGGUGAGUAACACGUGGGUGAUCUGCCCUGCACUUCGGGAUAAGCCCGGGAAACUGGGUCUAAUACCGGAUAGGAGCCAUUUUUAGUGUGAUGGUUGGAAAGUUUUUUCGGUGUAGGAUGAGCUCGCGGCCUAUCAGCUUGUUGGUGGGGUAAUGGCCUACCAAGGCGGCGACGGGUAGCCGGCCUGAGAGGGUGGACGGCCACAUUGGGACUGAGAUACGGCCCAGACUCCUACGGGAGGCAGCAGUGGGGAAUAUUGCACAAUGGGCGCAAGCCUGAUGCAGCGACGCCGCGUGGGGGAUGACGGCCUUCGGGUUGUAAACUCCUUUCGCUAGGGACGAAGCUUUUUGUGACGGUACCUAGAUAAGAAGCACCGGCUAACUACGUG